GGAUGUGACUCAAAAGGAGAGUCGCUUUUCUGUUCAGUCCUUUGGGGUACAGAGAAAGUAUCCCACUAAUCCUGAGGAGAGAUCCACUGGACCUGGAAUUCGAGUGGCACAGAAAUCCUUUGAAGAGAGCUUAGAAAAACAUCUCAAGGUAGAUGGAGACCUCCCAGAAAAGCAGACACAGGACAUUAAGGACACCAUAAUGGAGAAGCAAUCCUUCCUAAAAAAAGGAGAGGGGAGAUUACACUUAAAUAAGGGUAAGAGCUGUUCACUGAAGACCCAGAGGAGAGCCUCCAUUAGCCUGCAUUCCCGCAAAGGGAGCCUCACCGAUCAUCGGAGCUGCUUCACUGAUCACCAGAGGUGCUUCACCGAUCACCAGAGCUGCUUCAAUGAUCACCAUAGGUGCUGCACUGAUUACCAGAGCUGCUUCACUGAUCACCAGAGCUGCUUCAAUGAUCACCAUAGGUGCUGCACUGA